AGAGUUUGAUCAUGGCUCAGAUUGAACGCUGGCGGCAUGCCUUACACAUGCAAGUCGAACGGCAGCACGGGAGCAAUCCUGGUGGCGAGUGGCGAACGGGUGAGUAAUAUAUCGGAACGUGCCCAGUAGUGGGGGAUAGCCCGGCGAAAGCCGGAUUAAUACCGCAUACGACCUGUGGGUGAAAGCGGGGGAUCGCAAGACCUCGCGCUAUUGGAGCGGCCGAUAUCAGAUUAGCUUGUUGGUGGGGUAAAAGCCCACCAAGGCGACGAUCUGUAGCUGGUCUGAGAGGACGACCAGCCACACUGGGACUGAGACACGGCCCAGACUCCUACGGGAGGCAGCAGUGGGGAAUUUUGGACAAUGGGCGCAAGCCUGAUCCAGCCAUGCCGCGUGUGGGAAGAAGGCCUUCGGGUUGUAAACCACUUUUGUCAGGGAAGAAACGGUCUGAUCUAAUACAUUGGGCUAAUGACGGUACCUGAAGAAUAAGCACCGGCUAACUACGUG
rnacentral:rRNA from 1 species